rnacentral:rRNA from 1 species
CGGGACGGGUGAGUAGUGUCUGGGAAACUGCCUGAUGGAGGGGGAUAACUACUGGAAACGGUAGCUAAUACCGCAUAACGUCGCAAGACCAAAGAGGGGACCUUCGGGCCUCUUGCCAUCGGAUGUGCCCAGAUGGGAUUAGCUAGUAGGUGGGGUAACGGCUCACCUAGGCGACGAUCCCUAGCUGGUCUGAGAGGAUGACCAGCCACACUGGAACUGAGACACGGUCCAG